UUAAAAUACCGCUUCUCGUUCGAUCACCGAAGUUAAGAAACGUCGAGCUUAGUCAUUACCUUGAUGGGGGGCCACUUGAGAAUACCAGGUGAUGUA